GCUCCCCGGGCUGCCAGGCCCCGGCGGAGCUCGUGAUUCUCCUGCUGCAGCCGCUGUGGGGGCCGGACAGAGUCAGGUGAGGCCCGAGUAGACACAGAGCCAGGGGCGCAUCGGAGCGGGGCUGAGCUGAGACAGGUAUGGAGGCAAGAGGGAGAGGCAGGCAGGGUGAUAACCAGAGCCUGGGCGAGGAGGGGAGGUGGAGAGUUUCCCAGGCCAGGCUGGAGGAGCCCAGCCGGGCCUGGAGUGCAGUGGGGGUCCCCGGUGCCCACUCACCUCUGGCUGCUGCCUGGGCUUCUGGACCCGAGGCCGCAGGCGCCGUUUCUGGCGCCUGAGUCUGGCAGAAUUUAAGCCCCGGCCCAUGGCCUCGCGAACCAAUGUCCCAGGGGCCGUGGAGGUUCGGCCUCUGCUCGGACUCUGCUCAGCCCCUCUCCUCCAGCUCCCUCUAAUUAACCCUGGCCGGCCCCGCCUGGGCCCCGUGCCUCUGCGUGCCCUUCCCCAAACCUGUCCAACCAGCAGGGGGACGCUCUUGGCACACCUGGGUGCCCAGCUUGGGGAGGCAGGCAAACUGGGCGGCCGGCCUCUGGUCCCCACUCUCUAUAAACUCUCAAAGCAGGAAGGUGAUGCUAACCGUACAGCUGCUACAAUUAUUAGCAGGUGUCCUGCCUGCCAGGUCCUGUGCGAGCACGUUCCUGGUGCUUCUCAUUUAACCAGCUAGAGGCAGAAUUGUUAAUGUGCUGAUUUUGUCUUUGAGGAACCUGGGGCUCAGAGAGGUGAAACGCCUUGCCCAAGGACACCCAGCAAAUUAGUGAGGCAGGGAUUCCAACCCAGGCAGCCAAGCUCUUAGCCAACUGCCACGGGGGCAACAUGGCUCUAGGAUCGAGUCCCCAGCUUCGGGGUCCGGUUGUCCUGGCUGGUGCCCGGCUCUGCUGCCGCUUUGUGGUCAGACAGGUUCCUUCACCUCCCCAAGUUCCGGUCAAGCAGCCAUCCGUCUGAUAUUUGCUGAGCUCCUCCCAUCGUGGGGUCUGGCUGUCUGCGGGGAGUGAGACCACCCAGUUCCCCACCUCCAGCAGCUUAGAGUCUGGAGAGUCACAGGCAAAUGGACAUGCUCUUGAACUAGGAGGGCGGUGCGCCCAGCGAGCUGAGGUCCGGCAGGCCUGCACGUGGGGACUCUCGGGCCCGGGUGAGGACUUUCCGUGUCAUCCCAAGUGUGACGGGGAGCUGUCGGGAGAUUUGGGGUAAGGACCGAAAAGACCCGGUUUGCAACUUGAAGACCCCUCUGGCUGCCCCGGAGUGGAGCAUGGAGAAUGGGCUCCAGGGGGCAAGAGCGGAAGCUGGGGACGCGUGAGGGGGCGGCCGCGGGUCUGGGGCAGAGCGGAUGUUGGCCGCGACCAGCUUGGAGGCUGCAGAGACGUCGGGAGGUGGGCGGAUUCAGAAUCUAGCUGGAGGAAAGGUCACCAGGGCAUGCACACGCAGGAGGAGAGGGGUCGUGCGCGGCUCACGCUCCGGUCCUGACACGGGAAGCUGGGGUGAGGAGCGCAGGGGUCAAGAGUGCCACUUACGUCGAGAUGCCCGUGAGGUGGCCCGGGGAAGAGGGGAGGGGCAGAAGCGCCCCAGGCCCGUCUCGGGGCAGUGGUUGGGGCUUUGUGGAUGCCGGGGUCAGUGGCGUCCAGGGCGCUCAGUGGGCCCGGUGUGACCCCCCCCCCCCAAAUGAGACUGUGGCUGAGGACAGCCUGGGCAGAGGGAGGAACUGUCCUGCCUCACAGGGUUAGGUGAGAAUGGACCAAGACGACGUAUGGAAGGUGCUUAGCCCAGAGCCAGGCCGGGAGGGGCUGCCCCUGAGCUGCUGGAGGGGUCGUGCCGUCCCGCUGAGAAGCCGGACCCCAGAUUCAGAGACGGCCAGUGGCUCACCCGGGAUCACACAGCCAAGCAGAGGUCUGAACCCAGAUCUUGACGUGUCCAGGGCCCACCUCCCUCACCACUGGAGAGCCGGGCCAGGAGCACGGGCUCAGCACUGAACCGUUGUCCCGGAGACAGACCCUUGCCGGGCUUUCCUCCCCCUGCCCGCCUGCCUGCCACCUGCCCACCUGCCUGGAAGCUCCUGCCGUCCACCCCUGCCCCCUGCCGUCGGCUCACUUCCUCACGCUCCGAGUGCUGGGCGCUCAGUGUCUCCAGCUGCCGCUGUAGCUCCUCGUUGCGUUCCAGAAGCAUCUUGCCGAGCUCCGCGGCCAGCAGCAAGUCCUUCUCCUUCUGCUGCAGCUGCAAAGCCAGGUCCUCGGGCUCCUCGGGCCCUGGGCCCCCUCCCAGGAAUGAGUCCCGCCGCUCCAGCACAAAGGGGAAGAAGCCUUCGUCGCCACUGGGGGAGGCGCCCCCCGAGAGCAACCCCGACGGAAAGCUUGGCCCUUCCGGGGAGCUCAUGGUGCCUUCGGCAUCUGUGGGCACAGGUGUCCAAGCCCAGCCCUACCGCGGGACCCAGUAGUCGCCAUCGUCCCAGCGCAGCGACGACCGGGGACCGGGAGUCUCCGUGACGAGGCCCCUGUGGGUGCGACCCCGCUCUGGAGACCCGGGAGCGUCCCUCUUCCUCCCGCGUCCGCGCAUCGAGCUGCUGUCUAGCACGUCGGCCCGGGCGGGUGGGCCCCCCCCCCGCCCCCGGCUCCUCGACCCCCCGGCCCGAGGCGGCCACCUUCCCCCCUUGCCGGUGCCCCCCCCCCCCCGCUUGCCGACCCCACGACUCGGCACCCGCCACCCCCGGCGCCCGCUCGUCCUGGCCCUGUCCUGCCCGAAACUCGAAGGGCGCCCCGUGUCCGGCGCCCCUAGGCUCCUACCCGCCGACUCCGGACUCCCUCCGAGGUCCCCGCGGUCCCCGAUCCCCUCUUCCGGAGGCGGCGCCAGGUGCCAGGCCCGCACAGCAGGUGGGCCCCUACAGUGCCCAAUCUUGGCUCCAGGGUCCCCUCGCAGAGCUGUGGGCGGUCCACGCUGGCGUCCAGAGGCCUGAAGAAUGCCCCCUGCCAUAGAGGUAACCCCGUGGGAACGCCGCGGAUCCAGAUCAAGGUGCCUCCGGGCUUUUACGACAUAUACAAAGUCUGUGAACAAUAAGUGGUAUUGUUUGGAGCAUUUUAAACCUCUGUAUAAAAUACUGCACACUUAGGGCGCUUGGGUGGCGCAGUCGGUUAAGCGUCCGACUU